AUGCGAGUGUGAUGGUGGAGAUGAUUCAGUCUAUGUCCUUCCCGGUCUUGACCGUUCUGCCAGCCCUGACCCUGAGACUGCCUGCAGUUCUGGACCCUUUGCACCCUUUCUGGAUUGACCCCUGCCUGCCCUUUGGCCUGUCAUUUGCAUGGCGCCUAUAAUUGGAAAUAAAUGAUUGUUUCUUUGACACUGUCUACAUCUGGGUCAUACCUGAAACCUAAUAGUGUCUCAAUUUUCAGGUGGUAAAAAAGGACAUUGAAUGCAAUGUGAGAGCAUAUUACAAGGAGCUGCCCCUUUAUAUAUAUAUAUCUAUAUAUAUAUAUAUAUAUACUGUUGAAGUCAGAAGUUUACAUACACUUAGGUUGGAGUCAUUAAAACUCAUUUUUCAACCACAACACAAAUUUCUUGUGAACAAACUAUAGUUUAGGCAAGUCGGUUAGGACAUCUACUUUGUGCAUGACACAAGUAAUUUUUCCAACAAUUGUUUACAGACCAAUUAUUUCACUUAUAAUUCACUGUAUCACAAUUCCAG
ensembl:lncRNA